rnacentral:Y_RNA from 1 species
GGCUGGUCUGAUGGUAGCAGGUUAUCAAAACUUAUUAACAUUAGUGUCACCAAAGUUGGUAUUCAGCUCCCCACUGCUAACUUUGACUGGAAUAAA